rnacentral:rRNA from 1 species
CACGUUAUGGUGGGCACUCUAAGGAGACUGCCGGUGCAAACCGGAGGAAAGGUGGGGAUGACGUCAAAUCAUCAUGGCCCUUACGGCCUGGGCUACACACGUGCUACAAUGGUCGGUACAAAGGGUUGCCAAGCCGCGAGGUGGAGCUAAUCCCAUAAAACCGAUCGUAGUCCGGAUCGCAGUCUGCAACUCGACUGCGUGAAGUCGGAAUCGCUAGUAAUCGUGAAUCAGAAUGUCACGGUGAAUACGUUCCCGGGCCUU